AACGAACGCUGGCGGCAGGCUUAACACAUGCAAGUCGAACGCCCCGCAAGGGGAGUGGCAGACGGGUGAGUAACGCGUGGGAAUCUACCCAUCUCUACGGGAUAGCUCCGGGAAACUGGAAUUAAUACCGUAUACGUCCUGAGGGAGAAAGAUUUAUCGGGGAUGGAUGAGCCCGCGUUGGAUUAGCUAGUUGGUGGGGUAAAGGCCUACCAAGGCGACGAUCCAUAGCUGGUCUGAGAGGAUGACCAGCCACAUUGGGACUGAGACACGGCCCAAACUCCUACGGGAGGCAGCAGUGGGGAAUAUUGGACAAUGGGCGCAAGCCUGAUCCAGCCAUGCCGCGUGAGUGAUGAAGGUCUUAGGAUUGUAAAGCUCUUUCAGUGGGGACGAUAAUGACGGU
rnacentral:rRNA from 1 species